rnacentral:rRNA from 1 species
UCCGUAGGCGGGCAAUUAAGUCAGAGGUGAAAUCCCACAGCUCAACUGUGGAACUGCCUUUGAUACUGGUUGUCUUGAGUUACAGUGAAGUAGAUAGAACAUGUAGUGUAGCGGUGAAAUGCAUAGAUAUUACAUAGAAUACCGAUUGCGAAGGCAGUCUACUAACUGUAUACUGACGCUAAUGGACGAAAGCGUGGGGAGCGAACAGGAUUAGAUACCCUGGUAGUC